rnacentral:rRNA from 1 species
GGGUGCGAUCAUACCAGCACCCGGGUACCGGAUCCCAUCAGAACUACGCAGUUAAGCGUGCUUGGGCGAGAGUAGUACUAGGAUGGGUGACCUCCUGGGAAGUCCUCGNGUUGCGCCCCUC